rnacentral:rRNA from 1 species
UACGUAGGGUGCGAGCGUUGUCCGGAAUUAUUGGGCGUAAAGAGCUCGUAGGCGGCCUGUCGCGUCGGAUGUGAAAGCCCGGGGCUCAACCCCGGGUCUGCAUUCGAUACGGGCAGGCUAGAGUGUGGUAGGGGAGAUCGGAAUUCCUGGUGUAGCGGUGAAAUGCGCAGAUAUCAGGAGGAACACCGGUGGCGAAGGCGGAUCUCUGGGCCUGUCCUGACGCUCAGGCGCGAAAGCUAGGGGAGCGAACAGG